rnacentral:rRNA from 1 species
UACAGAGGGGGCAAGCGUUGUUCGGAAUUACUGGGCGUAAAGGGCGCGUAGGCGGCCAACUAAGUCAGACGUGAAAUCCCUCGGCUUAACCGGGGAACUGCGUCUGAUACUGGAUGGCUUGAGGUUGGGAGAGGGAUGCGGAAUUCCAGGUGUAGCGGUGAAAUGCGUAGAUAUCUGGAGGAACACCGGUGGCGAAGGCGGCAUCCUGGACCAAUUCUGACGCUGAGUGAGCGAAAGCCAGGGGAGCAAACGGG